rnacentral:rRNA from 1 species
UAGGGAAUAUUGGUAAUCUACGAAAGUGGGAACCAGCAACGCCGCGUGUGCGAUGAAGGCCUUCGGGUUGUAAAGCACUUUUUGAGGGGAUGAGGAAGGACAGUACCCUCAGAAUAAGCCUCGGCUAACUACGUGCCAGCAGCCGCGGUAAAACGUAGGAGGCGAGCGUUAUCCGGAUUUACUGGGCGUAAAGCGUGUGUAGGCGGUUUGAUAAGUUGGAUGUGAAAGCUCCUGGCUUAACUGGGAGAGGUCGUUCAAAACUAUCAGACUUGAGAGUGGUAGAGGGAGGUGGAAUUCCGCAUGUAGUGGUGAAAUGCGUAGAUAUGCGGAGGAACACCAGUGGCGAAAGCGGCCUCCUGGCCCAUUUCUGACGCUCAGACACGAAAGCUAAGGUAGCAAACG